CGAGGGUUCCGCCCCUCUGAGGCCACGGCCCCGCACGCUUUCUCUGGCGCAUUGGCCACGCUCCUCAGGGCUCCACCCUCUCCCCGCCCGCGGCUCGGUUACGAGCUGUGUGUUGUGUGAGAGAGAACAGGUGGCUGGAGGAGCUCCGGACGUGCUGCCAGAGUUUCAUCGCAGAGCGUGCGUCUGGGAACAGAGCUUACAGAGGGAGCCUAGAUCAGUUUAAUUAUGCAUUAGUUCUUUAGUCACUUAACUGUCACUUUCGCUUAUGCCAACGUUUCCACCAUUUUCACUAUUUCCUAGCCGCGCGCGCGCGCGCGUGUGUGUAUGCACCAAGGGUUUUCACAUGUGGCAAAAGCGUCCCCAACACAAUCCAGUGACUGGAGGAAGGAGCCCCUCGAGCACCCCACUGGUGGGCUGUCUGGAAGCAGGGGGAUACUCAGUGAAAGCUUUUAAGAGAUACCACAUCAAAACAGAGUCCUGUGUGGGGGCUGAUGACAUCUGAAGAAGAAUCAGCAGUCCCCUGCACCGACACGUGAAAGUGCUGUGUGAAGAGCGUGAAUGGAUACCGUGUCUCCUCACAAGCUGGGAUCACUAUUCACCCCUUAUGACUCUGGGACUCCUCAAGUGAGUACUCACCAACAAGAGGACCUUACCACCUGUAGCCCUUCGACCUUGGACCACUCAAUUUUCAGAAUUGU